CGCAACUGGGCAAACGAAUGUGUGGGA
rnacentral:sRNA from 1 species